AAUUACACUGACUUUACGUUUUAUUGCAAAUUACUCAAUUCUUUUGUGCAAAACAAAUAGAUUUAUAUUUUCUAUUUAAUUAAAUUUUCGUAGGACUUCUCGAAGUUCCUGAAUAUUACUCCGUGAGAUUGUCCAGCAUGUCGGUCUAUCCAGAAGAGACCACGAAAUCAGAUAUUUUCGUAUGGCAAAAACAUGGCGACUGGUAGCACAUAGCACUUGCCAGAGUUGAAUCUAAAGUAUUACCCUCUGAAAAGUCUAUACAACAACAACGAAAAUGGAAAUAUUGUUCGAAAAGCAAUUCGUAUUUGCAUUAGUCGCAGUGUUUUUAAUCUUUGUUUACCUCUCGGUUAAGAGCUGGAAAUGCCAGACGAAAGCGAAUGAAGGAAGACAAACACAUUUCAGAUUCCUCACGUAUCAAUUAUUAUGGAAUUUAAUCUUUUGUCCUAGUAAAGCACUAAACUAUAAAAAGUUUAUUGACGUGUAUCUUCUUCAAAUGUUAGAAGGAUUUUGCUUGAUAAAUCCAAAGGAAAAAGCGAUAAAAAUUUCUGUCAACGGAAGUAAUUAUUUUCUGUUUUCUCAUCCCGAAACAAUUGAAAAAGUAUUGAAAAGUUAUAACACGAUUAACAAAGAUACCUUUUAUAAUAAGUUCCGUUUUUUAAUCGGAACAGGACUCAUUACUAGCUCUUACAACAAAUGGAAGACACGAAGAAAGAUGUUAAAUCCUGCAUUUCACUUUCGAAUUCUCGAAGAUUUCCAAGAAAUCUUUUAUAGAAAGUCGGAAACNUUA